rnacentral:rRNA from 1 species
GUCUACGGCCACGCCACACCUGAACGUGCCCGAUCCCGUCUGAUCUCGGAAGCUAAGCAGGGUCGGGCCUGGUUAGUACUUGGAUGGGAGACCACCUAGGAAGACCAGGUGCUGUAGGCG